AGCUAGUCGUGCUGAGAUUUUGUCACACACCAGACCACAAGGGCUGAUGAGACUUCCAAUAUAAGUGAAGCG
rnacentral:pre_miRNA from 1 species